rnacentral:rRNA from 1 species
UACGGAGGGUGCAAGCGUUAUCCGGAUUCACUGGGUUUAAAGGGUGCGUAGGUGGGCAGGUAAGUCAGUGGUGAAAUCUCCGAGCUUAACUCGGAAACUGCCGUUGAUACUAUUUGUCUUGAAUAUUGUGGAGGUAAGCGGAAUAUGUCAUGUAGCGGUGAAAUGCUUAGAUAUGACAUAGAACACCAAUUGCGAAGGCAGCUGGCUACACAUAUAUUGACACUGAGGCACGAAAGCGUGGGGAUCAAACAGG